rnacentral:misc_RNA from 1 species
AAGCACUUAAGACUUCAUAACAUUAAACCCAGACAUAACAAUAGCAAAAGGAGGUUCAAGUCACUUAGUUAGGACAAAGCCAACAGUGAAAAGCAGAAAUAGCAUACUAAAUAUUUACUCACACAAGAUUGUUCAGACGAUCUUAUAGAAAAUAUAAUCCAAAUUUAUCCUCCAAUGCAGAUUCACUCAAAUGCCCAAGCAUUCUCCCUCCUAACCUCCUCUUCUUCCUCAGGAGUGAAGUCAUUCUUGAUGUUAAAGGUCUUCCGGAUCUCCUCUGGUGUUUUCCCUUUAAUCAUGUCUGCCACGGUCUGGCAAGUGAGAUCAAGCAAGCUCUUGAUGUUCAAGUAGUUGGCAGCCAGGAUCAGAUCGAAGAGGGUGCCCUGAUCAACUUUGACAAAAUCAGCAUCAAAGGUUUUGAGCUCAUCUUCAGAUGCCUUAUCCUCAGUUUUAGAAGCAUCAACAUGGCGUUUGCAGUACUCAAUAACCUUAGCCAAGAUCUUGCUGGUAACAUUAGGCAGAGGGAUGCUGGUGUCGGCGCAAUCAUCUUCAAUCAUAUGCUUGAUCGUCUGAGAUUCCAAAGCAACCGCUUCGUCCACCUCGAAAGUCUCGCCGUCGGAGCUCUUCAACACGAUCAUCUUUGAGGAAGCCAUGGUAGAUCACUCAAUCGAUUCACGAAACCCUAAACCUAU